rfam:Schistosoma curassoni strain Dakar, Senegal genome assembly, scaffold: SCTD_scaffold0001176
AGCUUUCCGAAUCUAUGCUGAGAUUUCGUCGGACACCAACCCAUUCAGGCUGAUCAGACUUCCAAGAUAAGUGAAGUU